GACGAACGCUGGCGGCGUGCCUAAUACAUGCAAGUAGAACGCUGAAACUUGGUGCUUGCACCGAGCGGAUGAGUUGCGAACGGGUGAGUAACGCGUAGGUAACCUGCCUGGUAGCGGGGGAUAACUAUUGGAAACGAUAGCUAAUACCGCAUAAGAGUAGAUGUUGCAUGACAUUUGCUUAAAAGGUGCAAUUGCACCACUACCAGAUGGACCUGCGUUGUAUUAGCUAGUUGGUGGGGUAACGGCUCACCAAGGCGACGAUACAUAGCCGACCUGAGAGGGUGAUCGGCCACACUGGGACUGAGACACGGCCCAGACUCCUACGGGAGGCAGCAGUAGGGAAUCUUCGGCAAUGGACGGAAGUCUGACCGAGCAACGCCGCGUGAGUGAAGAAGGUUUUCGGAUCGUAAAGCUCUGUUGUAAGAGAAGAACGAGUGUGAGAGUGGAAAGUUCACACUGUGACGGUAUCUUACCAGAAAGGGACGGCUAACUACGUG
rnacentral:rRNA from 1 species